rnacentral:misc_RNA from 1 species
AACAGAUUUGCUUUCCCAUCACAAGUCCAACACAACAAUAUUGCUUUUCUAAUUAAUUAACAUUAAUUUUCCCUUAAUUGUAUGUGUUAGGCGCAAGCAAAAAAGUGAAUUGACCUAGCUAGGUUGAUAAACUUGGUCGAUGUCCACUAAAAUUGAGACAUGAUUUGUAUAGUCAAUUUUCUAGUCUAUUGCACAUUUGAUCGAUGUAGAAGAAAUUAACACGUCUG